UACGUAGGGGGGCAAGCGUUUGUCCGGAUUUAUUGGGCGUAAAGAGCGUGUAGGCGGCUUGGUAGGUCCGCUGUGAAAACUCGAGGCUCAACCUCGAGAUGUCGGCGGAAACCACUUGGCUAGAGUCCGGAAGAGGAGAGUGGAAUUCCUGGUGUAGCGGUGAAAUGCGCAGAUAUCAGGAAGAACACCUAUGGCGAAGGCAGCUCUCUGGGACGGUACUGACGCUGAGACGCGAAAAGCGUGGGGGAGCAAACAGG
rnacentral:rRNA from 1 species